GCCAGUGUGGUCUAGUGGUUUGAGCACUGGACUAUGUCUCAGGAGACCAAUGUUCAAAUCCUCCCUCAGACA